CUAAAUCUUGAUAAUAUGAACAUAACAUUUCUCACUGUAAAAUGAUUUUUCUUGUUUAUGGGGGUCUGGGAGCCACAGAUGCAAGACUGUUCAUUCUGAUUUUUUUCCAGAUGAAUUCUAGCCCAGGAAUGCAGGUGGAGGGCAUCUGAAGUGUUGUGAAAGCAGUGGCAUGGAGAUGUCUUCUUGCACCAGCGACUGGCUUUUUUACAGACACAGAGAUGGUGUAACCCUCAUAUGGGGGACCCAAGAGGAUGUUGUAUAUUGCCAAAAACCAGCUACACUGCAUACUCUUAGAGAAGAAAUUGAAAAUGUAUGGACAGCGAUCUCAAUAAGCAAGGUUACCCAAGGAGCAGUUUGCUGUACUAAUAAAUGUCUGAAAGCUAAUGGCCACUACUUUGGGCACCUCUUGUAAUUGCAGAGGCUAAUAACUGGUAUUAAUCUCGUGAUGUCUCAAUCAAUUUAGUAUUAAAACAUUUGUGUAAGUUUUUAUUUUCCUGAAGUGUGCAUACAUUUUUUUGGCAGAUUCUGUAUAACACUAAAGACAUUGUCAUUAAUCACCCUCAAAGUAAUCCCUCUCACUUCAAAACCACUUACCCCAUCCCAUGAUUCUUGCCACUUUUUGAAACAGUUCUGGAAAUCCUUUUCCAUGGCUUUAGUUGCCUUGUUGUGGAUACCUCAAUGUCCUGAACUGAUUUAAAAUGCCUGCCUUUCAUGGACAGUUUGACCAUGGGGAAUAGCCAAAAGUCGCACCGUGCCAGAUCCAGUGAAUAAGAUGGAUAAAGACACACUACAAUGUUUCUGUUUGAUAGAAAUUGCCAUACAGGAAGCAAUGCAUAACACAAGAGUGCUGACAUGAUAGAGGAUCAAAUAAUUUGCUCACUUUUAGGCCAUUUUCUACACAUAUCAUUUCUUAAAUAUUCUAAUAAGCCCUUAUAAUAUUCAGAGUUCAUUGUAAUAUUCCUGGGUACAAACUCAGUUUACACAAUAUCAUCAAAAUAAAAAAAUCAACAUCAUUUUGAUGUUAGAUCUUGAUUGAUUUUUUUUUCCACACAAGGAAAACUGGGUGAUUUCUGUUGAGAACUCUGAGCCUUCCUCUCAAGAUCAGAACCAUAGACUGAAGCCUCAUCACCUGUGAGGCUAUUUCUUUGAAAGUUGAACUGCGAAGCAACAUAAUGGUGCAACUCUAAUGAAAUCCACAAAUGGCGUUGCUUUUGUCUCACAGUCAAAAUGUCUGGAACAAUUUUCCCAGCCAUUUGCAUCCAGUUCACAUCUGUUGUUAAAAUGCUUUGAAUGGAACCAUGAGAGAUGUUCAAAUCUUUGAAAAUUUCCCUAAUAGCCAAUCGCCUGUUGAAUCUUUUUGCUCACUCUCUCAACAUUCUUUUGGGUUUCUGAUUCUGUAGGACAUCUUGAUCUCUCAUCUUCAACUAAUUCGCAACCAUUAUGAAAUCAAAACUCUUGUAAACCAUCUUCAUGACCAUUACAGCAUCACAGUAAACUAAUUUUUGUUUGUUUUUGUUUCUUAUCAGGGACCUAAUUCGGGACCUUGCACUUGUGAGGCAGGUGGCAGAACCACUGAGCUAAAUCCCCAGCCCCACAGUAAACUAAUUUUAAUGUCCUAUAGUUUCUUUAGCACUUUUUAGCAGUUUAAAAUAAAAUGUCAUGUUUGUGCGUUGCUCGUGAUCCAUGAUUUAUGACACACAUUAAAAUACACCUUCUUUCAACCUUAGCUCACGACUGACUGCACUAAAGUUGAAAUGUGUCACUAAGAGUUACUUCUCCUAUUGAAGAUCCUUCCCGUUGGAUGGCACUGGGCAGCAGCAAUCACCCUGUUUUGAUCACACCUGAACGAAACAGUACAUGACUGUAUGUAUGUGCUCAAAAAUAUUUAAUUUGUGGAUUAUGUGAACCAGAAAAUUCAAAGACCACCAUACUAGCAAUAUAUUUGUUUUUCCAUAUCAAAGUUAACUUUGAAAGUAAAAUUAUUAGAAGAGUUAAUAUAGAGCAAAGAAUGCUAGAGAUAGUAACACAAAUGUAAUAUAAACCAAGAGAGUGAGAAAAGAAUUACUGAAAAUUUAAAAUCCCAGCAGAGAAUAUUGGAUGAUAGAAGAAAGUAUUUGGCAGUAUACAAAUAAAAACUAUUUUAUGCAUUGGCCAUUGUCUAGACUCAUAGAUUUCUGUGAAAGCUGAUCUUCCUAGAAUGGCAGAGCAUCACUAGAAGAAGGGUAGAGGACACUGAGGGCUUUGGUCAGGAGCCCUGUGGUAAUAAGUCAUGUGGGAUCACAGAUUCAUGGAUCAGCACCUGC
rnacentral:lncRNA from 1 species